CGGCGGACGGGUGAGUAACGCGUGGGUAACCUGCCUCAUACAGGGGGAUAACAGUUGGAAACGGCUGCUAAUACCGCAUAAGCGCACAGUACCGCAUGGUACGGUGUGAAAAACUCCGGUGGUAUGAGAUGGACCCGCGUCUGAUUAGGUAGUUGGUGGGGUAACGGCCUACCAAGCCGACGAUCUGUAGCCGACCUGAGAGGGUGACCGGCCACAUUGGGACUGAGACACGGCCCAA
rnacentral:rRNA from 1 species